GGGGAUCCACAAAUUCCUUUCCAGACCUUCAGAGGAGGCACAAAUCCAUGUGGAGCUGAGGAAGAUUGUGGAUCAUUGGGGAGAAUAUUUGGGAUAAAGAAUUGAAAGACACAAGGGAAGCUUCAUGUUCCCAAGGGAAUGCUUUAGGUACCACAUGCAGCUUCUGAACUACAUGGAUAAUCCCGGCUCCCACAGAAACCUUCCAAAGCUGGAAGGGACAAGGAAGAAAAUUUCAGGAGCAGUGGGAAGUGCUUUCUCCCGGGUCUGGAUGGCACUGAGGUCAGAAAGAGUUCUAAAUAUUCUUUGUGCCUCUCCUACUGCCAGCCCAGGACUAAGUCAGUGUUCCCGGAGUGGCUGCAGUUCCCUGUGUGUGGAGGGAGGAGGUCUAUGCUGGAGAGUGGGAGAAAGGUCCCUGCUGGUUGCUGUGUCCUCGGUGGGCAGAGAGCUCUGGCCUUGGCCAGAUGGGCUGGAAGAACCACUGAACUUGUACUAUCCUUGCCAAGAGCUUUGGUGUUUGAGCAGCCAAACCCAACCUGGUCCUGCCCAUGGUGUGGAUGCUGGAACUGCCUUUCUGGAUGUGUGCUGAGCUCUCGCUGCUGUGAACUGUGCGGCCUUUAUUGCUGCAGGGUUCUAUUCUUCUCACAGAGAAAUUGGAAAUAUUUAUUAAUUAGAGUGCAGAGAUGUUUUCUGAAACCUUUCCCUUUUUUCUGCCUUUUAAUGGUAGAUCUUCUCUUUUUGCCUCUGAAUUUAUGGUGAUUCUCAGAUGUCAUUUACUGGCCCAAAUUCCUUGCAGCUCCUGGGGCAGAGAGAAGCUUUUCCUGUUGCCGAGGUUCAGCGGGAAAAUGAUACUGUGUGUCGCACCUCCU